CAACGUUGUUAUUGGGUGCCCAUAGGUCUUAUGGGUUGAGGGGAGGGGCCUCUGUGGAUCAUCCCACAGAUACUUGAAUCAGUUUGGGAUCUAUUGACUCUGGAGGCCUCGUGCUGUUUUUCAUGUUUUGGGGGUGCCUGGUUUGGCCUAGGGGGCGGUACAUGUCUAAGUAACCUAGUAACAUGCCAGGUCGAAACGUUUCCCAGGAGAACAUUGAAUUCUCACAAGGUGGCCGACCAGUGGCUGAUCAGUGUAUAGUUUGGUUAAUGUGGUGAAGAACCACGUCCUCAGGCUCAUAAGCACCCAGUAGGUUCUCAGCAGUUUGGUGCAAGAAGUGUUUCCCACACACUUCUUGUCUCUCAUACUGCUAAGGAUGUGGGAGCCGUCCGCAGUGUGGUCACGGUUUAGCAUCAAUUAAGCAGAAUUCCCGACGGAAACAGGCUCCCACUGCAAACAAAUGCACUAAACCAUGCAGGCAGCUGUACUGAAUGAAGCUGAAAACCCGGUAAGUCAAUUUGAACAUCACUGACUGACUAAUAACACCAACUGACACCCCGUCUAUACAAUUUACAACACAAGACAAUGGUGCAUUCAGGAACCAUGUUCAAAACAGGACAUUCCAGAUACUUCAUGAGCCUUGGGCUAGGCGUUUUUCCCCGUCGUUCUGGGGUCUGGCUCGGCUCCUUGCAGCUCGAACAAAGACAGGUCCGUACCAGCUGGUGUAUGGUGGCUGUUCCUCAGCAGGGAUGCAGGGGAAUGCAAGUAGUCGACAGGUCGAUGGCAGUUCUGGUCCUUCGCUCCUGCAGGCAAGUGAGGGCUGGCUGUGCAGCGUCCUCGUCAUGGAUCUAAAACGUUCGGUUGAACAUGAGAAAAACAAGUAAAGUUUCCGAGCUCAUCCAGCGAGAUAGAGAACAUGUGGCUUUGUUAAGAAAAGGGAAAGUAACAGUACUGGUGUACCUCUGACAGUAAUGAGAGUUACAUCUGGAAGCAAUGAGGGUGCCGGCGUCUGGGAGCAACCGUGACGUCACAGCCAAGAGACAGGACGUAACGUGGGCUCGUCCAAUGAGAGCCAAGGAUUUAACUCCACCAGAAUUCACACCUAGGUGUGAAUGCCCCAGUGAAUGAUGGGAAAGUGGGUCUUUUUUAGGACUCCCUUUGUUUGAAUUUCUUGCACUUUCCUGCGGUCAGGCUGUAGUGGAACCAUACAGGUCCCACUCAGAGUUGUCGGCCCAACAGCGGGUUGAGAACUCCAUGAAUGCUAGAAGUCUUCUAUAUAAUUUUUACACUUCGGCUUAGGUUUUGGCACCCCUGCUCUAUAUAGCUGCUCGGGGUGUGAUUAGAGUCUCCCAAGUUUGAGAUAUAGUUGAAAUUUCAGCACCAACCAGCUACUUUUCAAAGCCUUUAUCUGCUGUGCAGCUGAGUGAGCACAUGUUUUCUCGUAGGAGAUGCCGCUGUGCUCUUAGAGGCAGUAAUGAUCAUUAAAGAAACAGUAAAAGUCACAUGAGAUGGCUGCAUAUUGCCGUUACGCACUAAAUGUGACGCCUAGCUGUUUUUCAUACGUUCCUCCUCUGUAUUUUUCCUUAUUAUUUCUUUAAACAUACUUGUGCAGAUGACAGAUUCACUUGAGGUUAUUUUUAGCUCACACAAUGCUGUAAUUCAGCCCUUUGUUGAGAAAAGCCUUGAUGUCUCUCAAAUGAAUUAAUUCGAUGAAGAUUGAAGAUGGAAAAAAGGUCACCGCUAUUAAUGUGAUUUGAUCUCUACCUUAAACCAAAUGUCACUCCAUUCCAGAGCAGAACACAAGGCCGGACCUCUGCGCCGUCAGAGACCUCAUUAUAGGUGUGUGUGCGUGUUUGUGUGCGGAGGUGGACAGCUUGUAGAUAUAUUCAGUGUCAUCCAAAGGACAACUGUUGUUUCUAAGCGGCUGAUUGUAGCUCAACGCAAGUUUGCCAAGACGUGCGGUUCAUGCGGCUUCCUGCAACGUCGCGACAUGCAUUUGGUCGACAUUUGGCCCUCGUGAAAGUCAUCGCAGUGAGUCACUCACAGGCGUUGCUUUAUGGAUUAAAUGCAAAGCUCUACUCUGAUAUGCGGAUUUACUGUCACCCUGAUGCAGGUGAGGCCUGACAGGAACACUGGCAAAUAAUUUAGAAGUUGUAGACAGUUUAUAAUUUGUUAUAUUAAUCCUAUUCGCAAGUAUUUGACGUUUCAUUAAUUAACAGAAUAAACGCUUCAUCCAUCACUUGCGGUUUAACUUCUGUGUAUCCUCUAGACAAUAGUUAUUAAAUGGAUAUUGCUUUAAUGUAAAUAUGAACGAGUGGGGAACAAAUUGCACACACAUUCUUCUCUGUGAGGACAAGGACAAGCUCUUAAGAUAUCAUUAAUAAUCACAAUAGGUAUGGCCACCUCACUAAAUAUUACUUAGUUAAUCAUCUACAGUGCCAGACCAUUGGUUCACAGUGUCCUGACAGUACUCAGAGCUCCUGGGAAGAAGAAUGCUGUUAAAUGGAAUGAUCAGGCAUAACAUUAUGACCACCUACCUAAUAUUGCGUAGGUCCUGAUCGGAGUAUGUAGCAAAGUGAAUAUCAUUCAUUUGGACCCAAGUUAAGUAAAUCUCCCAUUAUUUGGUUCUGUUUUUUUUUCUUAGUCUUCCUCGUAUGUUUAAAGAGCUAUUAUAUAAGAUUUUGGGGGGACUCAUAAGCAGAAAUGGAAUGAAGCAUUCAAAAAUAUGUUUCGUGUAUCAUCGCACAAAGCAAUAAAUCUUUUGUGUUUUUGUGAGCUUAUAGUCGGAUCCUGACCCUGAAGUACUAUGUUUCUACAAUAGUGAAGAAAGAACCAACACUGACUCCAGACGGGGGCGGGGGAGGUGGCAGCUUCACUGUGAAAACACUAGAGUGCAGGAAAACCUCCACGCUUGAAAAGAACGGGAGCACUGGUGCAGCCACAUCCAGACUAGACAGAGAGUCGGUAAUGAGGAGAGACGCCACAAAGCUGAGGGAGGUUCGGCUGUUAACUUGGGAGCUGUGGUGAUGGCAAACGGCAGAUCAUCGUCUAAUAACGCGCGAGGAAGCCAAAGUGAGACAAACGAUAUUCAAUAUCAGUAUGAAACAGUGGCAUAAAGCCUUUUUGCCGGCAGACAUGCUCUACAUUUUAAUUUGCCUAAUGACUGAAAAACAGUAAUGGGAAAUUACUACCGUGACCAUUGUACAGCACAGUAUACCAUAUAUACACUCACUCAUAUGCCCUGCAUAAUGACACAUUACCAUGGCGAGAAUGUGUUUGUCAUACAUUAAAUAUGUAUGCAGCUCCGUUACUACUCUGCAGUCAAGCUGUGGAAUAUCAACUAUAUGGUUUAUUUCACCUCAGUCUCACAUACAAGCUGGCAUUUGUCUCUCCAAACUCAACUCUCUACUUACGGACCGUAUGUGUUAGCACCUCAUGGUGUGGAUACAAAGCGCAUGCAAGGUGGACCCCAUCGCGUUCUGGAACAAUCUGGAAAGACAGCAAGAACUAGACAGUAUGGAGGGGAAGCAAAAUACCAAUGGAGCUAUUUUAAAGCAUGAAAAAAAAAAAAGACAACAGCAUAUUUUGUUUCCAACAUUUCAGUUUUGUAUCGCUGUAACGGCUUUAAUUAUUCAGCUCGAGGCAUAAAAGUGCAGCAGCAUGUGUUAUUCUGAGCCAGUGUUCUGUCACAUCAGACGCCAUCCAGCAGUACACUGCACCGUAUGUCUCGGGUGUUUUUUUUUUUUUUUUUGUAGAAGCGCAUUGACGUCCUGUGAAGAAAACGUUUUGUUUGUUUGAACUUCUUUAUACAGUGUGCCAAAAGACGCCAAAAGUAAGCAUCUAUUCAGGCCUUAUGGUAAAGACUUCCAGCUUCUUGUAUCUGGGAACCAAUCUGAAAUGAUGGUGGCUGAGGAUAAGUUAACAAAUACAACAGAUACAGGUGCCGAUAUAAUGCGCCUUGGAUCUGAAAGAUCAUGUUUGAUGUGUUCAAUGAUGUUAAAUCAACCUCAGGCUACACCUAAGCUAACCAGAAGCGUGUCCGGCUAGCUUUUUCCAAGUCCGAGAUCCUGCAGCUGCCUCAGAUUCAUCAGCUCGCAGGCACAGUUAAAGCCAGCAACGUUUCUCCACCUCCCCCAGGAAAAAUAUCUGCGUCUGCCAGGAAACGUGGUUCUGGUGCUCCAUCAUCCACACCUUCUGGACAAUGCAGACCAACCUCAGCCCUUCCUGUCACUCCAGCGGCUCCUACCGCUCAGACCACGUGGGUCACGAUGCGAUCAGUCCAAGCACUCAAUUCACGUCAGCGGUUGCUGGAAAGUGCCUCCACCUUAGGUGUCUCACGCACCAGUGCAGCCGUUUCGGCCUUCUACCUUAGUCUGCCAUUAGCGCCCCAAAGGACUCAUUAGUCUCUCUCCUCUGCUAGGUGAGCUAACCUCCCCUCUGCAGCAACUGGUUCACCUCAAGACAGAUAUAAAAAAAAAUAGUGCAAAGCAAAUAGGUCAAGAUGUUAUUCUCAACUCCCCAGAAUGUCAUAAAAAAAAAAAAAAAAAGACGUUUCACCCGUGAGAGCAUUACAGCUAUUAUUAAAUCUGCUGACCCAUGCUUGUCAAGGGAUUGAGUUUAUCCUGAUAGAAGACGGGAAUUAGAUGCUUGUCUGCCACCGACUGGUGAUUUUAAUCUCAGAUAGCACAACGCAGCUUUUCAACGUGAUGCCCAUUUAAAUUGGACGGUUUUGAACACAGACAUUCUCGUUCUGAUUGUUGGCAGUUCUCGAUCUUUUUUUUUUUUUUUUUUUCCUGUGCAAACCUCCAUUCUGACUCCCUUCGCCCUCAGCUGGAUUACCGCAAGCACCAAUGCAAGAAAAGUCAAUUUAUCUCCCGUUUCAAAACCUCUUUCCUUCACGGCUGAAAAAAAAAAAAACAACCUCUUCAAAGUCCAUCAUUCAACACCAGUAAAUAUCCAAGCUCACGCCUCCAGAGCUGUCAGCUCAUCCAAACAAUGUAUUUAUUGAUCACCUGCUCACUGGCCUCUCUCAGGCUGGUUUCAUAUGCUGCGAAAAAACACUCCAGGAUCUAGAUAACUUUCAGCUGAUGAUGCUGGAGUGGUGGUUAGAUGUGGAGCUUGUAGGAAGGCCACAGGUUCGCAUCCCCGGGGGGAAACAGAGACUUAGAAAAAUACUUUUAAAAUCAGUAAUUAGUAAAGCAACUUAGUUACUCUUUAACCCUUUGAGUGGCAUUGUAACCACACAGUUGAUCUUAGUAAUAGACAAUAAAAUGUUUUCUAACCAUUGCUACUCAUUAAAUUUGUAAGAUUCACAAAUUUGCCCAUGUGUGAGCACAUUAUAUGUAUAAAUAUCGAAUCUGUGGCUUUUAUACUUUUGAACAUAUGACCGUAGUUUGAAAAAUUAAAUCAUGCAGCUUUAUUAUAUAGCUUCAUUAUUAUAUAUUAUAUUGUAUGAAUCUGUCCAGUUGUGUGAACAUUCCAAUAAUGAUAUGUCAGAACACUCAAUUUGUAGCGUACACUAUGAAUAUAGAUUAAAAAUUAAUGAUAUUUAAUUGUGAUUAAUCGUUUUUUUCAUUUCAUAAUCAUUCCAUAACGUUAAAUUAAUGAAUCAUGACAUAAAUACAGCAUGAAGCUUAGCCAAAAUUAACCCUUUUAUUAUGUAAAAAAAAAUGCUUUACAGUAACGUAACUCUGCUCUGUCGUUACCAACUGUCAUUUCAGUUCAGCAUCAACAUUCACUACUGACAUUAGCUAACGUUAGCGUCAUAAUUUAAAGUGAUUAAGUGUUUGUGGCACAUGCAAACAUAUCAUUGUCACAACCUUUUCUUUUUCUGAAUCCAUUGACUUUUUUUCUUGUCUUUUUUUAUGGGAGGAGAGGAAGAACAUGAAUUUUAUUGCAUUUGGAAGGUCAGUAGUUGUCCAUGAUGGCUUGUCAUAAUCAGUUGUGUUUGCCUCGCCUUUUUUCAUCAUGAAUUUUCCUAAAUUUACCCAUUCAGAUGAAUGUUCUCAAUUACUUUAACAAACCAGCAAACAUCUAGCCCUCAAGACUGUUGAGACGUUUUGCCAGAUCUGAGCCCGGCAUGUUUCCUACCCGACGUGUAAUUUGGUUCUGUUAAACCCCGCUUUCUACAUAAUAUCAGAUUUUAUGCUCUGCAUCACCCCGCCUUCAUUAUAAACAUCUUUCAUCACGCUGCUAUCGACAGACCCAGCAGCCCUUGCAGCCCUUGCGGCGCGGCACACGGUGAUGACCUCACAAACUCAUUAUUGAUGAGGGAGUGAAAAUACAUGAAUUGUGAAUGAAAUGCUCUCAGUGAGGCCGUGGCUCUCUGUGGGACAUGUUCAGUAAUGAAACUGAGCAAAAUGCCAACACGCAAAUAAGCGCAUGAACACACAUGCAGCAGCAGAACGUAGAUGCAGGAACUGAUAUGCUGCACGUAGACAUGCAUGCAUGUAUAUUUUUCUGAAAUGUGGAUUAAUUACUCCCUUAGCACAACUUCACUUGUGGGCGAAAUCAGCAAAUGAGAUAAUAAUAUUUCCUCUCAGGGCACUCAUAUUUAACCCAAUAUUUGGUUCCCAACACACACACACGCACACACAAGUUGAAAUUAUUUAAUGAUGAGGCAAAGUCAAAAUGCUCUUAAAACCUUGAAUCCCAAUGAUUGUGCAAACUUUCUCUUUGUUACACUACAUCAAAUUCACUCAUUUCAGAUACAGUCCCAGCACUUUUGACAGCUUUUCAUUAAAAUAGAGACGGGCAAAGACUUACUGACUCACGCACUACACCUGCCUACAGCAUAUGCUCGAUAUCAAUAUAUUCCCAGUUUCCUUGUCAGAUAUAGUAUAUUACUUUUUUUUUUUUUUCACCAGUGCAUAAAUAAAUGGAAAUACUCAAACCCCUCGGGUAAUUUUUUUCCAUUUCCUCCUAAUAUGACACUAAUAAAUCUGCAGCCUGAGGCACUGGCAGAAAUCACUCAGGAUCAGUGACGUAUCAGUCAUGUAAAAGUGCACUCAACAAUAUAAGCCAGUGUGUGUGUGUGUGUGUGUGUGAAUAUGUGUGUAACAAUAGAUUUGUGCAAAUCCCUUAACUAUCAGAUAAUUUAAGUGAAGUAUGACUCUCCGUGUGUAUGCCUGGGUGGUCGUAUGCAACGCUGAAUUAUUAAAUGCCCCUGUAACAAAUCUGACAAGAGAAGGGGGAGACUUCAUGAAAACAUAACUUUCUAUCAUCUGCCACGGCUUUCAAGGUACCACAGAUAAAUAUUAAUCCCCCAGCCGUGCCUCCUCGCCUCCCAAGCAGGUGGUGUGUUUUAAAACCCUCAUUAAAUGGCGCGGUCUUCAAUCAUCCCAAAUCAGAGCUAAAGUUGACGGCUGCUGCUAGGCUGUAAGAAGUCUCUACCUUCAGAGGCCAUAUGGUAUUUAUCUCUUGUGGAUAUACCAUGUGUUCUCAUGCCAGUGUGCCUCUAAUGGUGUAAGAGUAAGACUACAACAUGUUGCAGCUGGGUUUGCAAUUGACUGAUUCUGCAGGUAUGUAAGUGACAUAAUGGAGCAGCUUUUCUAGAUCCCGUGACAUCUGUGUUUUUGUUGUUUUGUCACUGCUAUCCGCAUACACGAGAGGUGGGUAGACAACAUGGCACACAUGGGUAGACUUUGUGAAACAGGGAAUAAGAAUGUGCCCCUUCCAGAAACAGCACAGGAAAAGGGAAACGCCGUGAGUGAUGUGAGAAAAAAACAGAAGCGAGGCAAACAAGACAGCCUGCUAGCGAGGCUAAAGGCUAACUGGUCCUGAUCACCAAUCUCAGGGUUUCCCAUACAAUGUUUAUACUAUGGGAGGCACCGCAAGCAAUGUAAAAAAAAAAAAAGAAA